CCUACGAGUGGCAGCAGUGAGGAAUAUUGGUCAAUGGACGAGAGUCUGAACCAGCCAAGUAGCGUGAAGGAUGACUGCCCUAUGUGUUGUAAACUUCUUUUAUAUGGGAAUAAACUGUUCCACGUGUGGGAUUUUGUAUGUACCAUAUGAAUAAGGAUCGGCUAACUCCGUGCCAGCAGCCGCGGUAAUACGGAGGAUCCGAGCGUUAUCCGGAUUUAUUGGGUUUAAAGGGAGCGUAGGUGGAUUGUUAAGUUAGUUGUGAAAGUUUGCGGCUCAAACGCCAAAUUGCAGUUGAAACUGGCAGACUUGAGGACAGUAGAGGGGGGCGGAAUGCGUGGUGUAGCGGUGAAAGGCUUAGAUAUCACGAAGAACACCGAUUGCGAAGGCAGCUCACGGGACUGCAACUGACACUGAGGCACGAAAGUGUGGGUAGCAAACAGGAUUAGAUACCCGAGUAGUC
rnacentral:rRNA from 1 species